AACGAACGCUGGCGGCAUGCCUAACACAUGCAAGUCGAACGAGACCUUCGGGUCUAGUGGCGCACGGGUGCGUAACGCGUGGGAACCUGCCCUUAGGUUCGGAAUAACUCCCCGAAAGGGGUGCUAAUACCGGAUAAUGUCUUCGGACCAAAGAUUUAUCGCCUUUGGAUGGGCCCGCGUUGGAUUAGCUAGUUGGUAGGGUAAAAGCCUACCAAGGCGACGAUCCAUAGCUGGUCUGAGAGGAUGAUCAGCCACACUGGGACUGAGACACGGCCCAGACUCCUACGGGAGGCAGCAGUGGGGAAUAUUGGACAAUGGGCGAAAGCCUGAUCCAGCAAUGCCGCGUGAGUGAUGAAGGCCUUAGGGUUGUAAAGCUCUUUUACCCGGGAUGAUACUGACAGUACCGGGAGAAUAAGCGCCGGCUAACUCCGUG
rnacentral:rRNA from 1 species